rnacentral:rRNA from 1 species
UACAGAGGUCUCAACCGUUGUUCGGAUUCAUUGGGCGUAAAGGGUGCGUAGGCGGUCGUGCAAGUCGGAUGUGAAAUCUCAGGGCUCAACCCUGAAACUGCAUUCGAUACUGCGCGGCUAGAGUGCUGGAGGGGAGACUGGAAUUUACGGUGUAGCAGUGAAAUGCGUAGAUAUCGUAAGGAAGACCAGUGGCGAAGGCGAGUCUCUGGACAGUUCCUGACACUGAGGCACGAAAGCUAGGGGAGCAAACAGG